rnacentral:rRNA from 1 species
GGAUUAGAUACCCUGGUAGUCCACGCUGUAAACGAUGGUCACUAGCUGUUCGGAUUUCGGUCUGAGUGGCUAAGCGAAAGUGAUAAGUGACCCACCUGGGGAGUACGUUCGCAAGAAUGAAACUCAAAGGAAUUGACGGGGGCCCGCACAAGCGGAGGAAUAUGUGGUUUAAUUCGAUGAUACGCGAGGAACCUUACCUGGGCUUAAAUGUAUAGUGCAUGAGACAGAAAUGACUCUUUCCUUCGGGACUCUUUACAAGGUGCUGCAUGGUUGUCGUCAGCUCGUGUUG